rnacentral:tRNA from 1 species
GCCCUCAUGGUGACAAUGGCUAGCACACGUCCUUGGUACGGACGAGGUUCCAGUUCGAUUCUGGAUGGGGGCAC